rnacentral:lncRNA from 1 species
CAGACAUUUUCAAUAUGAUUAAUUAAACUUUUAUUUCUCAUUCUAUAGACAACGAGGCUGAGUAUUCACAAUCUGGUUUGUUCUGUAUUAAAUCAAUUCAAAAGCAGGAUAAACCGGUGACAUCCGACAUACAAAUCACUGUUUGGAUGAGAAGUACGACAAGGUGAGCUACUGAGAGGGCUUCUACCGUUCCAUUCAACUGCAGAGUAGUGAUUAUCUGCAGGAUGGCACACGAGGACAUAGUCAUCGUGCUCACAGUUCCUCUGUGUGUGUGGGGGGGGAGCUUGGUAGAGAGCUGGUUGGAGCUUGGUAGAGAGGAAUAAGAAGAUUUAACAGCCUCGGGUGAGCCAUAUGUAUGGGUCUUCCAUGGGGCUCCAAAGAGACACGUCCAUGUAUUCAUCACAGUGAAUGAUCGACAUCACUAAGGCUCUCCUUUGCUGGUGAACAGCUAUGUGGAAGCAUCAUCAUGUAGCCCUGGGGCCCCACCUGGUCUGAGGAGAACAUGGUAGCACUAGGUGUUUGAGGAGGGGUGGGAGUCACAUUGACUUCUGAAGGGAUAUAAUCUGCAUCAUGAGGCCCUGGGCCAGGAGUCAUUGGCAUAUAACUGCCCGCCACUGAGGGUGUAUGUGUACUCUGGUGAUAGACAUGAAGGAAAGGGGGCUUGGAUGAGGUAUUUUUCACAUUUUGAAGCGCAUGAAGUGAUUUGGUGGUAUUGUCUGGAAUGUUCAGGGGUAGACUUUUUCCACACCGAAGAUCUCGCCAUUACCUUCAGAUCCAUGGCCACGUAGUCAGUCCGGCUGUUCUCUUCAAUGAGUGGGAGUCAGAGGUGUUACUGCUGGAGAACUGAAAGGCUGGGAGCCCAAAUCCUCAGCCCAGACAGAGCCUCUAUCAUUGGGAGAACCACAGACGGAGGGGCCAGAGGUGUGUAUCAGAGACAUUGCCACCGCUGCCGGAUACACUGGCGGGAAUGGUGGUGGAGAUGCAGGCACCGUGACUGAGGCUCUCUUCAAGGAUUUUAUUGAUGCAGACAUUACAGAGAGCCAAGGUGCCAGUCGCAGGGCUGAUCAGUUGUUAACCUGUCCCCUCUCCUUGGCUACAGGUUUGGUUAGGGCGGUGGCCUUCAUCUCUUUCACUUUUCUGUGGGGACAGUUUGCUUACAACAGUUUCAGUCCCUGAGGACCGCUGGAGCCCAGUCCGUCUGGGUGGCAGGUUGACAUGUUGAUGACGUCACGUGGUGACUACAGCGCAGGGGUUUGAUGGGAAUGAUUGACUCUUGCUCCGCGGCCUGAAAUCAGGGAUGGCCGCCAGCGCUCUCACGGCCACCAGGAUUGUCUUGUGCAUGUUCUGAGCCACUACAGGGUCACCUGAGUCUACCUGCAUCCAGAUCUCCGCGGGCCCAGUAGAGGAUCGAGCGACCCACCUCAAUAAAGAAGAAGCACUCGGGAGUGACCACAGCGAAAGACAUUCAUCAUAGGCAGGUUGACAGACAGCAUCUCUUGGCAGAGAGACACAGCCCCGUUAGGUUCUUGGUUUGAAGAUGGUGCCAGGAGAGAUUGUCCAGCAUCCAUAAUUCAACUCCUCAGUGUCCUGGUGCUGAUUUUUCUCCUAGAUACUCAGGUCAUUCAGAGCCAGCUUGCUUCAGGAGAUAGAGCUGUGGCUUCCGAUGCCGCACUCAAACAUCCACUCUACAGUCUGUACCUAUGGCCCAAUGCAUUCACAUGCUGUUGCCAUGACAAUUGGAAGUGGGCUGCUGCUUGCUCUGAGUUCGUCGGAUGCUGAGAGAGGGAGAGGGAGAGGGAGAGGUAGAAAGACAGCCAGAGGAGAACAGAGGAUGCACAUCAAAAUUGUUUUCUGAUGGCGUGUGGAGCACAUUUGCCUCUAAGGGACAAGAAGGGUGUUGAACAGUUUCAAAGAGGCUGGGACAUCAAAAUAGUUCCGUGGACUCAAGACAACUGCAGCAUGACAAGAAUUGACAUAACAGACUUAACAUGACUUGAUAUUCCUGGUAUGCCUUGGUUGGUUUACACUGAGGAGUAUAGAUUAUGUAUGUCCGUUUCUACUUCACAACCAUGCAAUGUACAGUACUGGAUUUGCAAGUCAUUCCCAGCUGUUUUGCUAAAUUGACUUUGCC